rfam:Candidatus Amesbacteria bacterium RIFCSPLOWO2_01_FTLL_48_25 rifcsplowo2_01_scaffold_404, whole genome shotgun sequence.
GCCGGGAUGCUGAAACUGGUAGACAGGCAUGCUUGAGGGGCAUGUGUCAGCAAUGGCGUGGAGGUUCGAGUCCUCUUCCCGGCA